AAACGACUCUCGGCAACGGAUAUCUCGGCUCUCGCAUCGAUGAAGAACGUAGCGAAAUGCGAUACUUGGUGUGAAUUGCAGAAUCCCGUGAACCAUCGAGUCUUUGAACGCAAGUUGCGCCCCAGGCCUUCUGGCCGAGGGCACGUCUGCCUGGGUGUCAC
rnacentral:rRNA from 1 species